rnacentral:antisense_RNA from 1 species
GGGGAAUGUACGAGCAGCCGGCGGAGCAAACCUGCCCCAUAGAUUUUUCUAAACCGUUCGCCACAGAAACGCUACUCUGUCUUCUCUGACCGACUCUGUACACUGCAGCCUUGCACAAAGAAAACAGGAGAAAACCAAAUACAGCAAUGAGACAAAUUGCACCGUUGCAUUAAAAAGAAUGUUCCUGCCGGGUGCGGUCACUCACGCCUGUAAUCCCAGCACUUUGGGAGGCCAAGGCGGGUGGAUCAUGAGGUCAAGAGAUCGAGACCAUCCUCGCCAACACGGUGAAACCCCAUCUCUACUAAAAAUACAAAAAAUUA